rnacentral:rRNA from 1 species
GGGCUUCGGCCUGGUUAUUCAUAACCCUUUGUUGUCCGACUCUGUUGCCUCCGGGGCGACCCUGCCUUCGGGCGGGGGCUCCGGGUGGACACUUCAAACUCUUGCGUAACUUUGCAGUCUGAGUAAACUUAAUUAAUAAAUUAAAACUUUUAACAACGGAUCUCUUGGUUCUGGCAUCGAUGAAGAACGCAGCGAAAUGCGAUAAGUAAUGUGAAUUGCAGAAUUCAGUGAAUCAUCGAAUCUUUGAACGCACAUUGCGCCCCCUGGUAUUCCGGGGGGCAUGCCUGUUCGAGCGUCAUUUCACCAAUCAAGCCUCGCUUGGUAUUGGGCGUCGGGAGACCCCGCGCCCCCAAUUCAUCGGCUGGACGGUUCGAAUCUCAGCGUUGUGGUUAUUCAAUUCGCUGGCGAGGACGACCGGACGCGCCGUUAAACCUCUAUCACAGGUUGACCUCGGAUCGGGUAGGGAUACCCGCUGAACUUAAGCAUAUCAAUA